AACGAACGCUGGCGGCAUGCCUAACACAUGCAAGUCGAACGAGACCUUCGGGUCUAGUGGCGCACGGGUGCGUAACGCGUGGGAACCUGCCCUUAGGUUCGGAAUAACUCCCCGAAAGGGGUGCUAAUACCGGAUAAUGUCUUCGGACCAAAGAUUUAUCGCCUUUGGAUGGGCCCGCGUUGGAUUAGCUAGUUGGUAGGGUAAAAGCCUACCAAGGCGACGAUCCAUAGCUGGUCUGAGAGGAUGAUCAGCCACACUGGGACUGAGACACGGCCCAGACUCCUACGGGAGGCAGCAGUGGGGAGUAUUGGACAAUGGGCGAAAGCCUGAUCCAGCAAUGCCGCGUGAGUGAUGAAGGCCUUAGGGUUGUAAAGCUCUUUUAACCGGGAUGAUAAUGACAGUACCGGGAGAAUAAGCGCCGGCUAACUCCGUG
rnacentral:rRNA from 1 species